rnacentral:rRNA from 1 species
AUUGAACGCUGGCGGCAGGCCUAACACAUGCAAGUCGAGCGGAUGAAGGGAGCUUGCUCCUGGAUUCAGCGGCGGACGGGUGAGUAAUGCCUAGGAAUCUGCCUGGUAGUGGGGGAUAACGUCCGGAAACGGGCGCUAAUACCGCAUACGUCCUGAGGGAGAAAGUGGGGGAUCUUCGGACCUCACGCUAUCAGAUGAGCCUAGGUCGGAUUGGCUAGUUGGUGGGGUAUAGGCCUACCAAGGCGACGAUCCGUAACUGGUCUGAGAGGAUGAUCAGUCACACUGGAACUGAGACACGGUCCAGACUCCUACGGGAGGCAGCAGUGGGGAAUAUUGGACAAUGGGCGAAAGCCUGAUCCAGCCAUGCCGCGUGUGUGAAGAAGGUCUUCGGAUUGUAAAGCACUUUAAGUUGGGAGGAAGGGCAGUAAGUUAAUACCUUGCUGUUUUGACGUUACCAACAGAAUAAGCACCGGCUAACUUCGUG